AAAGCCUUUGUGAUUACCAGUUAAUGCCUUUUGAAAGUUUAUUUGAUUUCUUACCUGGACGAAAUGAUGUGUGUAUUCACUAUCUGUUUUGGUUUUCUGUCUAGGUGUUCUUAUGGAUGUUCUUGUAGCCUUGUACAUUCUUUGCAUUAAAAUUUCAUUAGUCAUCCUCGCCGAGCCUUGGUGGUAUACAUGACUAAUUAGAGUGUCAAGAUCAAAAUAUCACCACGGAAUGAUUGUGCAAUAAAUCAGUCUUCAGGGUUCUGCUACUGGAUAUUUUAAGGUGUUCUUCGUGUUUGUUCUGCUAAGGUUUUAGAUACUCCGUGAUUAUAUUUGGUAGCCACGCAGGAGACUUGGUGGCGUACCUGUGAAUACUGCCUUUUUGUAGAUCAACCUCUUUCGAAGCAAAAGAAAUGUUUGACUCAGGCUUCCCUUUGUAAACACAUCAGCCAUGCACAAAUGGUUCUGCCCAGUGGAUGCAACUUCAACUGUUCUAAGUGCAUGGUGCUCUCUGGGAACCAAGCGCAUCUUCAUUCUUCAGUCAGUCCUUGAUCUAGAAUUGUGGCGAGGAGGACUCCAACCAGGCCAAUCCUUUUAUAUAUAUGCAUAUGCAUGUAAUGUCGAUGGUAGUGGCGAAACAUUCCGCAUCUGAAUUCUUCACAACAAUAGGAUGUUGCUCAUCCGUCUUGGUUGAACUCUUGCCGCUUGCUACUGGAGACGGGCAUUGAAGAAACAGGGUGGGACCAAGAGGGGCCAUUCACUGUACUUUGGCAUGUUUUUUUUCAAGGGGUAAACAAACAUCAGUGGGGAAUUUGUAUUUCUCUCUCGUAUUCCUCUGUUUCUUCCAAAACAGAGCAAGAGAAAAUGGGUCUGAUCCAAAACAGAGCCUCAGGACUUGUACAUUCAACAACGGUGGGAUCUGUUAGUAGUUAACCGCCAGCGCAGAAUCAGUUGUAGUGGUAGAAUAAACUAGCAAGUAGUGCGCGGCGGCACGCCGCGCCACAUGGAUUGAUAAGCUCUUUGCUAUUUCUGCAAUUUCUGGUAAGUUCUCGCAAGACUCUGAUUUAGUGUAAAGUAGUUCAUACAAGGAAAGGUUAGGCGGCAUGCCGUGCCUCACCUGUCCCUCAAGAAAAAUGGCCCUAUUGAAUGGCAAGUAUUCUA